AUUGAACGCUGGCGGCAUGCCUUACACAUGCAAGUCGAACGGUAACAGGUCUUCGGAUGCUGACGAGUGGCGAACGGGUGAGUAAUACAUCGGAACGUGCCCGAGAGUGGGGGAUAACGAGGCGAAAGCUUUGCUAAUACCGCAUACGAUCUCAGGAUGAAAGCAGGGGACCGCAAGGCCUUGCGCUCACGGAGCGGCCGAUGGCAGAUUAGGUAGUUGGUGGGAUAAAAGCUUACCAAGCCGACGAUCUGUAGCUGGUCUGAGAGGACGACCAGCCAGCCGGGGAGUGGGACACGGCCCAGACUCCUACGGGAGGCAGCAGUGGGGAAUUUUGGACAAUGGGCGCAAGCCUGAUCCAGCCAUGCCGCGUGCAGGAUGAAGGCCUUCGGGUUGUAAACUGCUUUUGUACGGAACGAAAAGACUCCUUCUAAUAAAGAGGGUCCAUGACGGUACCGUAAGAAUAAGCACCGGCUAACUACGUGCCAGCAGCCGCCGUAA
rnacentral:rRNA from 1 species